GAUGAACGCUGGCGGCGUGCCUAAUACAUGCCAGUCGAGCGAACAGACGAGGAGCUUGCUCCUCUGACGUUAGCGGCGGACGGGUGAGUAACACGUGGAUAACCUACCUAUAAGACUGGGAUAACUUCGGGAAACCGGAGCUAAUACCGGAUAAUAUAUUGAACCGCAUGGUUCAAUAGUGAAAGACGGUUUUGCUGUCACUUAUAGAUGGAUCCGCGCCGCAUUAGCUAGUUGGUAAGGUAACGGCUUACCAAGGCGACGAUGCGUAGCCGACCUGAGAGAGUGAUCGGCCACACGGGAGCUGAGACACGGUCCAGACUCCUACGGGAGGCAGCAGUAGGGAAUCUUCCGCAAUGGGCGAAAGCCUGACGGAGCAACGCCGCGUGAGUGAUGAAGGUCUUCGGAUCGUAAAACUCUGUUAUUAGGGAAGAACAAAUGUGUAAGUAACUAUGCACGUCUUGACGGUACCUAAUCAGAAAGCCACGGCUAACUACGUG
rnacentral:rRNA from 1 species